rnacentral:rRNA from 1 species
AUGUCCGGAAACGAUGAGGAAAUCGAUGCAGCACUUAGGUUCAUUCCACAGUACAAGAAAUUAGAACUUGUGGACUGCUGCAAUGGCCUAGUCCUUUGCCUGUACAAGAGCUGGUAUACUUCGCAAGGUACUCGCCGCUUCAUUGUCUGCAACCCGGCAACAGAAGAGUGGAUGGAGCUUCCUGUUCUCAAUACUCUGUAUGGCCCAAAUGUCUCCCGCUAUACAAACUUUUUUGCUUACGAUCCAUCAUGGUCGGCGCAGUUCUAUGUCUUCAACUUUCAACGGAAGCUCGGCAACACUUCACGCGUUGUCAACAAGCUUGAUGUGUUCUCGUCUGACCUAUCCACGUGGCUUGUGGAUGAUACAUGGAGGGGGAAUCAUGGGAUAUUUGUCAAUGAACGACACAAUUUUACAAAGGGAGUAUUGCAUGUGCAGACCAUGUGUGAUGAGAUUGUUGUGUUUGAAGGUUUGGAGACAAUGAGUUCUGGCAAGUCGCCCUGUCAUCACACUAUACAGCUACCAGGUGACUGUCGGGAUGGUUGCUUUGGCCAAUCAGCAGGGUUCUUGCGGUGUGCGUUACCAGAGAAGGAUGGUGGUGCAAUUGUAGUUUUCAGCCUCGAUGCUUAUCGUCCUUGCAAGUGGUCUCUAAAGCAUCGUCUUUGCAUGAGAGAUGUGUUUGGAACAGACAACUCCCUUCUCAAGGGAGAGUAUUGGUCCUGGUUACAUGAUUAUUCGAUUGUUGCUCUUGACUUGGAAAGGGAGGUUCUCGUCCUCUUCCGUAAGGAGACAAAUAAUCUUUUGUCAUACAACAUUGGCACCGGGAAACGUAGUGAGAUUAAAGAUGGUCAGCUUGAUGAGCAAUGGGACUGCUAUUAUUAUGCGGCAUGCUACUCAAAGGUUCCAGGGCUGAGCCGUUCAUUUCAUGUAACU